UACGUAGGGAGCAAGCGUUGUCCGGAAUCAUUGGGCGUAAAGCGCGCGUAGGUGGCCCGGUAAGUCCGCUCUGAAAGUCACAGGCUCAACCUGUGAAAGCGGGUGGAUACUGCCGGGCUAGAGUCCGGAAGAGGCGAGUGGAAUUCCUGGUGUAGCGGUGGAAUGCGUAGAGAUCGGGAAGAACAUCAGUGGCGAAGGCGGCCUGCUGGGCUGUUGCUGACGCUGAGGCGCGACAGCGUGGGGGAGCAAACAGG
rnacentral:rRNA from 1 species